UUUUAUUCACCUCAUGCUUGCUUUGGAUCACAAUGAUACAGAAAAGAUUAACAUGGCCCCGGCUCAAGGAUGACACACAAAAUUUGUGAAGCAUUCCAUAAUUUU